GACGAACGCUGGCGGCGUGCUUAACACAUGCAAGUCGAACGGAAAGGCCCUGCUUUUGUGGGGGGUCCGAGUGGCGAACGGGUGAGUAACACGUGAGUAACCUGCCUUUGAUUUUGGGAUAACUUCAGGAAACUGGGGCUAAUACCGGAUAGGAGCUCCUGCUGCAUGGUGGGGGUUGGAAAGUUUCGGCGGUUGGGGAUGGACUCGCGGCUUAUCAGCUUGUUGGUGGGGUAGUGGCUUACCAAGGCUUUGACGGGUAGCCGGCCUGAGAGGGUGACCGGCCACAUUGGGACUGAGAUACGGCCCAGACUCCUACGGGAGGCAGCAGUGGGGAAUAUUGCACAAUGGGCGGAAGCCUGAUGCAGCAACGCCGCGUGCGGGAUGACGGCCUUCGGGUUGUAAACCGCUUUCGCCUGUGACGAAGCGUGAGUGACGGUAAUGGGUAAAGAAGCACCGGCUAACUACGUG
rnacentral:rRNA from 1 species